rnacentral:lncRNA from 1 species
AGACAGCAGGCCCAGUGCCUGACUCGGUCGCUCCUCCUUCUCUUCGUGCCUUUUUAACUUUGACAGAUGCUGCCUCAAGGACAAGCGAGCCCUCUUAAACACCCCCUAAGCAGGCGCCUUAUCCCCACCUCUUUCCUAAGGAGGCCACCAGGCCCAGCGACCUCACAGCUCUCCCAGCUUCCUCGCACCAGAAGCGCACGGGGUGCCCUGCGAGUCCCAUACCUGCUGCAAGACCAGGGCGAGUCCCCAGCCAGGCCACUUCCUGGUGCCCUGGGAUAGGGCCGGGAGAGGCAGGGCCUUGCCUUUGCUCUCCUCCAGGUGGGAGUGCCUGUCAUACCUUGACCCUCUCUCUACGCACCUGGCUCCAGGCGGAGGGGCUGGGCCAGGCCUCCCCGGAAGGGGGCACCAGCCUUGGGUAAACGGAUACCCACAGUGCCUGGGUGCUCUCAGGGCAGGGCCUCAGGGCCAUACCCGCCGCGCAGGUGGGGCGGGCGCCCUGGGUGCGCUCCCCGCGCCGGGCACCAGGCGUCGCCCCCGCUCCUCUCAGCGCCGGGGCCCCCGCCCCCGCCGCGGAGCCGCAGCCGGAGCUGGAGCCGAGGCGGCGGCGGGACCCGGCCGGCCGGACAAAUUUCCUGCUCCGCUGCGGACGGCGGGCUGCAGGAGCCGGCGCGAGCGGCUUCAGGAACCCACGGCUUCUGCGCGUCCCCGCGACCCUUCUUCGCGCCCGGCGCGGACAGCCGGGCGCCCCGGAGGGCGGCGGGCGGGCGCCCGGGAGAUGCGGAGCCGCCGCGGCAGCGCGAUCUGCGCGACCGGACCGGCCCCCCCGAGACUAUAGCCUUCACAUUCCCUCGAGAUGGGGUCUUGCUAUGUUGUCCAGGCUGGUGAGGAGACAGCUCAGGAUUCAUGGAGCAGCAUGGGCCAGGCUGAUGGCGGUGAGCAGAAGGCAGUCCAGUGGCCUGGGAACAGCACCCAGGUGGCCGAGAGGUACCGGUCUCUGGAGAGGUUGGCAU